rnacentral:rRNA from 1 species
AUUGAACGCUGGCGGCAUGCUUUACACAUGCAAGUCGAACGGUAACAGGCCGCAAGGUGCUGACGAGUGGCGAACGGGUGAGUAAUGCAUCGGAACGUGCCCAGUCGUGGGGGAUAACGCAGCGAAAGCUGCGCUAAUACCGCAUACGAUCUAUGGAUGAAAGCGGGGGACCGUAAGGCCUCGCGCGAUUGGAGCGGCCGAUGUCAGAUUAGGUAGUUGGUGGGGUAAAGGCUCACCAAGCCAACGAUCUGUAGCUGGUCUGAGAGGACGACCAGCCACACGGGGACGGAGACACGGCCCAGACUCCUACGGGAGGCAGCAGUGGGGAAUUAUGGACAAUGGGCGCAAGCCUGAUCCAGCAAUGCCGCGUGCAGGAAGAAGGCCUUCGGGUUGUAAACUGCUUUUGUACGGAACGAAACGGCUCUGGUUAAUACCUGGGGCUAAUGACGGUACCGUAAGAAUAAGCACCGGCUAACUACGUGCCAGCAGCCGCCGUAACAC